rnacentral:rRNA from 1 species
UACGUAGGGUGCGAGCGUUAAUCGGAAUUACUGGGCGUAAAGCGUGCGCAGGCGGUUUUGUAAGCCAGAUGUGAAAUCCCCGGGCUUAACCUGGGAAUGGCAUUUGGGACUGCAAGGCUUGAGUGCGGCAGAGGAGAGUGGAAUUCCUGGUGUAGCGGUGAAAUGCGCAGAUAUCAGGAAGAACACCCGUGGCUAAGGCGGCUCUCUAGUACGGUACUGACGCUGAGACGCGAAAGCGUGGGGAGCGAACAGG